rnacentral:rRNA from 1 species
UACGUAGGUGGCGAGCGUUGUCCGGAAUUACUGGGUGUAAAGCGCGUGUAGGCGGCCGGCCAAGUCGGUGGUGAAAGCGCCCGGCUCAACUGGGCGAGGUCCAUGGAAACUGGUCAGCUGGAGGACGGUAGAGGCGAGUGGAAUUCCCGGUGUAGUGGUGAAAUGCGUAGAGAUCGGGAGGAACACCUGUGGCGAAGGCGGCUCGCUGGGCCGGUCCUGACGCUGAAACGCGAAGGCGUGGGGAGCGAACGGG